AAUAAUAUCUAAAGAAUUAGAUAAAUAAAAAACUUUAAGAAUAGUGGGCGAUUUAUGGUUCAUUCUCGGGUCUGGUCAAGAACCAAACUGAAUCGUAAUCGGUCCGAAUUAUAUGAAUUGAAGUCGAGCCAAAGUUUAGAACCAGAGCAAACAAUUUCAGUUCAGUUCAGUUCGGUUUCAGUUCGGUUUGACAAACAUUAUGACUGAAAUCGAAUCAAUUAUCAUAAUAUACAUUCCAGUACAUUCCUCAUUACAAUCUCAUAUUCAUUUGCGAACAAGACACCGAGAUAUGACAAACCCAAAAUUCAUUUUAGCACCAUAAAUUUUUUUAAUUUCAUUUCGUCUCAUUGAUACUUAAUUUAGAGAGAGUGAGAGUGAGCGUGAGAGAGAGGGGGCCUGGCGGCUGCUGUUGUGCUAGAUAAUUAAUUUAGAGAGAGUGAGAGUGAGCGUGAGAGAGAGGGGGCCUGGCGGCUGCUGUUGUGCUAGCCGGCUGCUGCGUCUGUCGGUCUGCGUGAGAGAGAGAGAGAGAGAGAGGGUACGCAUUCGGUUAAUUUUUUUAAAUUAAAAUUUCCUGAACCGAACGGUUUAAGCAUUCGGUUAGCCACCAAACAUAAAUUGUUCAGUGCAAGGCUGCAUGCAAAUUGAAACCGAACCGAGCUAAAUAAUUUUGAUUUGGUUCGGUUUUUACCUGUUAAACCGAACCGACCGAACUAAAAAAUUUUGAUUUAGCUCUUUUCGGCAAAAAUCAAACCAAACGCCCGGCCCUACCCACCGACUCAAAUCUUGUUUAUAAUUGAAGUGUUAUAACUUUUAAACUAUAGCUACUAUAGAAAAAAGUUAUAACUAUAAAACAAAAAUUAAUAGUAUAUAAUAAAUAUAAACUUUAAAUACGCAUAAGCCUACCACAUAUUCAAUUUCUGUUUAGAAUUAAGAUACUAUAACUUUUAAAUUACAGCUGUUGUAGAAAAAAAUUAUAAUUAUAAAACAAAAGUUAAUAGUAUAUAGUAAAUAUAAAAUUUAAAUAAUAAUUUUGACAAAAUUAUUAAAGAUAUAAUAAAUUUUUCAUCAUACAAGUGAAAAAUUAUAUCAAUAUAAUUUACAAGUUACAGUAGUUAGUGUUUACCAAACACUGCUACCCAAUCUCAAUCCCAAAUGGACUCUCAAGCUUGUUUGGAUUCCAAAGCCAUAAACUUAACUCGACUUAAUGAAGUUAAAGUUACCCAAUCAAAAUAAAUAAAAUAAGACAUAAAGGGUGUGUUUGGUACAUUAUAUUGUAUUACAUUAUAUUGUAUUAUUUUAAUACAGCUGUAUUAUAUUAUGUUGUAUUGUAUGAGCACUGUAUUAUAAUAAUGCUAUGUAAUGUUUGGUGUUAUCCUGUAUUAUUUUAACUUUUAAUUAUACUAUAUUUGGUGCUGCUUUGCAUUGCAUUAUUUUUUUGGUAAUUAUAAAAUUUUAUUUUUGAAAAAUAAAUUUUUACUUUUUGAUAACUUUGCCAAAUUUUUUUUUUGUCAAAAAUAUUUUAAUAAAAAUAUUUACUACUAAAUUCCAUGGUAUCAAUCUUCUAUUAAAUUAUACUUUUCGGCAAUAUAUCCUAUGAAAUAAAAAUCCAAGUGAAUAAAAUAGAUAACUCAAAAAAAAUCCCAACACAUAUAAUUAAAACAUAUAGGUAAAAAAAAGUCAUAAUAAAUAUAAUUAACACAAAGGUUGCACAUAUUAUACUUAGUCACAACAUAAAAGGAGUUGCAUUCUUGAAAAGAGUUGCUCUAUCUCAUAUAUCAAAUCAAGGUCAAUAAUUUUGCAUACAUAAAGACGGAUAUAACUUUCAUUCAAUCCUUAGAUAGUGUGUAUUCUUUCCCAGCUAUCCAAAUCCAAAUGCCAGUUUAGUUUUUACCACUGCUCAUCUUCCCUGAUUGGUAUUAAAAAGUGUGCAUUUAAUAAAAAUAAAAUUAAUAGUUUUUUACUUAAAGUGUUAAUUAAUACGCUCAUAAUUUAUAAAUUGUAUGAAUGCUCUCAUAAUAAAUUUUUAUCUUAAAUUAAUUCACAAUAUAUUAAUUUUAUAUUAUAAAUAUAUUUCAAUAAUAAAGAGGAGUUGGAACUGGAAGCGGGAACAAAAAAAAAUUGCUGAAGCCAUUUGGAAGCAUUAUCGAAGAUAUGUAAUUAAAAAUAAAAAAAUAAUUAAAAAAAAAAGAAAGUGGGCAAUCAUGUUGGUAAUGGUCAGGAGGCCAUCACGCCACCUGACCAUCACCCAUGAUUUGCUUGUUUGUUUGUUUGAUAAUAAUAAGAAACAAUAAUAGAAUAAAAGAAGUUGAAGCUGAAGAUUGCCUAUAAAUAGGAGAAGCUUUUGCUGAGGGAAGGGGGAGCUGAGAGGGGAGACGAGAGAACGAAGUUGAGGAAUUGUUUCUUUUUCUUUUUUUUUUCUUAUUUUGUUGUGUAAUCAAUUUCUUUGUAAUAUGUUUCAAAAGUUUAUCAAAUAAAAAGAAUGUUUUGUUUUCUUUCAAUAUGAAUGACUAAUUUUAUUAAGCUAAGCUAAAGGGUGAAGCUCAAGAUUUCAAAUUAUUAAAUUUAUUACCUUCUCAAGUGAGUUUUAAGUUUUUUUUUUCUUUUCUAGUUAUUUUUAUGUCAUGUUAAUUCAUAGAUUUUCUUUGAUCUAUAUGAUAUUUUGACAUAAUAUCAACACAUUAAUACAGUUGUGGCACAUUAUGUACUUUAUUUCAUAUUUAUCCAUACACAUAGUUAGUCAAGAUUUAAAUGAUAUAAUAGUUAACUAGUAAAAGUUGCGCAAAAUAUAAAAAAUGAUAAAGUAUUAAAAUUAUAGUUUGAAUACUGAGAGUGGAUCCCGUAACCUUAGUAUAAUUUUAAAUUAAUUCUUAGUAAUUUCUUUUCCCGCAAUUAAUUUUCUUUAUUUAACAAAUUGACUACUAGAUUUUAAAUUAUCUGUGGUUCGACCAUGGACUCACCGGAUUAUAUUAUAACUAGACACUCUUAUACUUAAGAGUAAUAACACUUUUGAGUCAUGUCACUCCCAAUCAAGAAUUUCUUCUAUUACUUGUCCAAGAAGAAAUAUGCUAUCAAAUGGACAAGAAAAGAACCACAACUACAUCAUUUCUAAGCAAUGUACAGAAUAAAUUGACUUAUGUACCAAGCUUGGCCUAACAUGCAUGUAUGUUAUGCAAAAUAUUGCAUCAAAAUGCAAAAAUGUGGUUGCAUAUGUGGAAAUUUAACCACAUAGGCAGAAUAGGUGCAAUUUUAUUAAGUUGGAUGGAAUACCGCAUUAGUUAUAUAACCAGAUGUAACGAGAUGCUAAGAUUGGCAAUAUAUUAAAGCUCUUCGUUGAUGACUUUUAGCCUUUUUUUUAUCUUCACCACAUCAUCAUUCAACUUCGAGUUUUGCUCAUAUGGCAUUUCAUCAUUAGUAUUAGGAUAUAUGAGAGAUUUAAUAGUGAAUCAAUCCCAAAAACAACAAUGCUUCACCUCACAAUGCUUCACCUCACAAUGCUUCCAUCUAGAUGACUAAAACAUUGCAUUAAGAUUUUGCAAUGUAGUUGACACCUUAGCCACUACCUGCAUGCCACACUUGCAAUAUUUUGGCUGGCAUUUCACUUUUUCAUAUAGCAGAAUUGGAAUUCUCAAAUGAAUUUGAAGUGUUAAGUGUGUGAUGGAUUAACAAUUUGUUAAUGUGCUGCUGAUUUUUUGUUGCAAAUGAGUAACAAAUUGGUUGAAUUUGAAGUGAUUGUUAGGUGUGUGAUGGAUCAAUGAUCUAUAAAUGUGCUGCUAAUAUUUUGUUAUAAAUUAAUAGCAAAUUGGUUGAAUGCCGCAAACUAUUUGUGUUGGUGCAUUUUAGGUGAUUAUAUAGCCUAAAAAUGUAACUGUUAUUGGCUCUAAUAGUUACAUUCUGGUUUGAUUCACUUUUAGGGCAAAUCUAGUAUUUUUACCUUAUUUUGAGUUUUAAGAGUAAAAUCAUCAAUUUACUAUAAUUUUCCUAACUUUCAAAUAGUAGCUAAUAAUUUAGCGGACACAAGACAUAUUUUAUCAACUUGGGAUGAAUGACUGAUACAUAUUGAAAGUGUGCUAGUACGUUUGAUAAAAGGAUUUAAUGAUUACAUUGAUAAUUUCCCUUUGUAAUAUUAUUCACCAAAAAAAAAAAUUAUGCUCUCAAAAGUUGGUGACUGAUGAAUAAUUUUAAAUAUAAACAAAAACGCUGCAAAAUAUAAAAUUUAUCUGUGAUACUUUUCAGCUUUAUCAACGAAAAGAAAAAUGAACUGGUAGUGUCGUUAAGGUGCACCAAAUUUAAAACCUUACCACUAAUAUAAAUAAUUAGUACAGAUCGAGUAAGGAUCAAUCCCACAGAGACUAUGCUAGUUAUAUUUAUUAUUAACUCUAAGCAAGAUUUGAAAUAAAAUAAUAGUAGUAAUAAUAAGAGUAAUAAUAAUAUAAAUUAAUCUAACUAAAGAAAAUGCCAAUUAUAAAUAAAAAGAGGGUUUAUGAAUUUUUAAC
rnacentral:lncRNA from 1 species